rnacentral:rRNA from 1 species
UACGUAGGGGGCAAGCGUUGUCCGGAUUUAUUGGGCGUAAAGAGCGUGUAGGCGGCUUUACAGGUCCGUUGUGAAAACUCGAGGCUCAACCUCGAGACGCCGGUGGAAACCGUAAAGCUAGAGUCCGGAAGAGGAGAGUGGAAUUCCUGGUGUAGCGGUGAAAUGCGCAGAUAUCAGGAGGAACACCCGUGGCGAAAGCGGCUCUCUGGGCCGAUACUGACGCUGAGGAGCGAAAGCGUGGGGAGCGAACAGG